rnacentral:rRNA from 1 species
GAUGAACGCUGGCGGCGUGCCUAAUACAUGCAAGUCGAGCGAACAGACGAGGAGCUUGCUUCUCUGACGUUAGCGGCGGACGGGUGAGUAACACGUGGAUAACCUACCUAUAAGACUGGGAUAACUUCGGGAAACCGGAGCUAAUACCGGAUAAUAUAUUGAACCGCAUGGUUCAAUAGUGAAAGACGGUUUUGCUGUCACUUAUAGAUGGAUCCGCGCCGCAUUAGCUAGUUGGUAAGGUAACGGCUUACCAAGGCAACGAUGCGUAGCCGACCUGAGAGGGUGAUCGGCCACACUGGAACUGAGACACGGUCCAGACUCCUACGGGAGGCAGCAGUAGGGAAUCUUCCGCAAUGGGCGAAAGCUUGACGGAGCAACGCCGCGUGAGUGAUGAAGGUCUUCGGAUCGUAAAACUCUGUUAUUAGGGAAGAACAAAUGUGUAAGUAACUGUGCACGUCUUGACGGUACCUAAUCAGAAAGCCACGGCUAACUACGUG